rnacentral:rRNA from 1 species
GUCGCGUGCGCAGUCUGUAGCAAUACAGAUGGGCGCACGGCGCACGGGUGCGUAACACGUGGGCAAUCUGCCCUCCGAUGGGGAAUAACCCCGCGAAAGCGGGGCUAAUACCGCAUAACAUUCCUUGGACUACCGUUUGAGGAUUCAAAGCAGUGAUGCGUCGGAGGAGGAGCCCGCGCCCGAUUAGCUAGUUGGUGAGGUAACGGCUCACCAAGGCAAUGAUCGGUAGCUGGUCUGAGAGGAUGAUCAGCCACACUGGAACUGAGACACGGUCCAGACUCCUACGGGAGGCAGCAGUGGGGAAUCUUGCGCAAUGGGCGAAAGCCUGACGCAGCGACGCCGCGUGGGGGAUGAAGCUUUUCGGAGUGUAAACCCCUUUCGACUGGGACGAAUGCCCGCAAGGGAGUGACGGUACCAGUAGAAGAAGCCCCGGCUAACUACGUGCCAGCAGCCGCGGUAAGACGUAGGGGGCCAGCGUUGUUCGGAAUUACUGGGUGUAAAGGGUUCGUAGGCGGUGUGGCAAGUUGGGAGUGAAAUCUCUGGGCUUAACUCAGAGGCUGCUUCCAAAACUGCUGUGCUUGAGUAUGGGAGAGGCGCGUGGAAUUGCAGGUGUAGCGGUGAAAUGCGUAGAUAUCUGCAGGAACACCCGUGGCGAAAGCGGCGCGCUGGACCAUAACUGACGCUGAGGAACGAAAGCUAGGGGAGCAAACA